rnacentral:rRNA from 1 species
CCUACGGGUGGCAGCAGUGAGGAAUAUUGGUCAAUGGACGAAAGUCUGAACCAGCCAUGCCGCGUGCAGGAAGACGGCUCUAUGAGUUGUAAACUGCUUUUGUACAAGGGUAAACGCAGAUACGCGUAUCUGUCUGAAAGUAUCGUACGAAUAAGGAUCGGCUAACUCCGUGCCAGCAGCCGCGGUAAUACGGAGGAUUCGAGCGUUAUCCGGAUUUAUUGGGUUUAAAGGGUGCGUAGGCGGUUGGAUAAGUUAGAGGUGAAAUCCCGAGGCUCAACUUUGGAAUUGCCUUUGAUACUGUUAGGCUAGAGAGUAGUUGAGGUAGGCGGAAUGUAUGGUGUAGCGGUGAAAUGCUUAGAGAUCAUACAGAACACCGAUUGCGAAGGCAGCUUACCAAGCUACUUCUGACGUUGAGGCACGAAAGCGUGGGGAGCAAACAGGAUUAGAUACCCGUGUAGUC